UGGGGAAUUUUACGCAAUGGGGGAAACCCUGACGUAGCGACACCGCGUGAGCGAAGAAGCCUUUUGGGGUGUAAAGCUCUGUCAGCUGGAACGAACACAAUGACAGUACCAGCAGAGGAAGCAUCGGCUAACUACGUGCCAGCAGCCGCGGUAAGACGUAGGAUGCAAGCGUUGUCCGGAUUCAUUGGGCGUAAAGAGUUCGUAGGUGGUCUGGUAAGUUUGGUGUUAAAGAGCGGGGCCCAACCCCGAUAGUGCACUGAAUACUGGCAGACUUGAGUGCGGUAGAGGUAAGUGGAAUUCCAAGUGUAGCGGUGAAAUGCAUAGAUAUUUGGAAGAACACCCGUGACGUAAGCGACUUACUGGGCCGUAACUGACACUGAGGAACGAAAGCCGGGGUAGCGAAUG
rnacentral:rRNA from 1 species